GGAUUUACAGAGGAUUUACCUAUUACCAACGGCCGUGGACCUUCAUAUGAACCUGAAAGUGUUCUGACUGUCUCUCCUUUUUGAAGCCUACUGUUUCAACAUCUCCAGCACCCCACGGAGGGUGUUUACCUGUUUGCAGCCACCGUGAAUGUGAUAUGAACCCACUUAAGCGUCGAGUGACAGUUUUCUGCCUGUUUCUACUUCUUUUUAAAGCACCCUGUUAUACUGAGUUUGAGAUUACUGUUCCCAGAAACACUGUCACUGGGUUUUACGGUGAGGCACUGAUCCUCCCUUGCACAUUCCCUGUGGACAGCUCAUGGGAUCUGAGAAGCACCCU